rnacentral:rRNA from 1 species
UACUCUUGACAUCCAGCGAAUCCUUUAGAGAUAGAGGAGUGCCUUCGGGAACGCUGAGACAGGUGCUGCAUGGCUGUCGUCAGCUCGUGUUGUGAAAUGUUGGGUUAAGUCCCGCAACGAGCGCAACCCUUAUCCUUUGUUGCCAGCACGUAAUGGUGGGAACUCAAAGGAGACUGCCGGUGAUAAACCGGAGGAAGGUGGGGAUGACGUCAAGUCAUCAUGGCCCUUACGAGUAGGGCUACACACGUGCUACAAUGGCAGAUACAAAGAGAAGCGACCUCGCGAGAGCAAGCGGAACUCAUAAAGUCUGUCGUAGUCCGGAUUGGAGUCUGCAACUCGACUCCAUGAAGUCGGAAUCGCUAGUAAUCGUAGAUCAAAAUGCUACCGUGAAUACGUUCCUGGGUCUUGUACACACCG